rnacentral:lncRNA from 10 species
UUAGGCUUUGUAUGUAGGACUCCAGAGGGCAGAAUAGGGACCAGGGUGUGAACCACUGUUGGGUGGAGGUGGGGACAGAUUUUGGCUUGGUGCAAGGAACCACCUGAAAAUGAGAGCUCUCCAAGAAUGGCCUUGAGGCCUCUGGAAUCCUGCUUGGAUAAGGGUUGGAUGGCAGGAUCCAUACAUAUUGCAUCAUAUCCAUGAAAAGGCUGCUCCCUGGGCUUGCGCGGUGGGCAGCCUGCGGGGCCGUAUACUGUGGCCCUGGGUGACAUGAACUUGAAGCCUCUUUUCCUUUGAGAGUCUCUGCUAAUGAUUUCCUGGUGCUUGAGUUGGGCUGGUAUCAAAGGGAGGGCAGGCAGAGGACUGGGCACUGGAUGUGAUGCCUGGACUGAGCGUUCCCACAGGGUAGGGUUGAGUCUCAGAGGAGGCUGCUUCCUCUCCCUGGGGCUAAUCAGAAGGGAACAGAGUUGCUAGGGGAGAAUUAUUGAUCACUAACUGAGUACCAGGCACCAUGGGAGGCAAAAAAAAUAAAAAUAAAUAAAUAAAAAAAACUAUAUAAUUCAUGUUCCUGUUCUCAGGGACCUGAUGGUCUGUACAAGACCACAGAUGGCCAGAUGGUACACAAUGCAAUAUGGAAGCACGUGAGGGUGGAGGCCAUGCAGGGCUGCCAGGUACACCUGUUCAGGUUGGGCACUACACAAUGCUAGGGACGCCACUCUACAGAUGUCUUGUGCAACCGUACAUGAGGCCUUGAAGUCAAAGGGAGACGUUAGGUUUUUACACAUUUGCCUGAUGCCAAAGGGUGAGGAGGAAUUGACCAAUAUCUGUUAAAGAUCAGGGUCUGGGCAUGUGUCUAUUGUGCACAUCCAAAGAGAAGAAGAGUUCCUAUGAACACAUUUGUAACCUGGAUUCUAAACCACGUAGUCUCUAUCAACUCUUCCUCCUCACCUCUUCUCAGGAACCCAAAAUCCUUCCACCUCCUACUGUGAGUUUUUCCCUUUGAGAAAACAGUUUCUUGCCCUGGCUGCCCCUCCUCCCACUCCUUCCCAUUCCCUCUGUUCCUAGCAAUGUGACUUUGCAGAGAAUGGAAAAAUCUCUUCCAGGAACCUGACACCCUCCAUUCUUUUCCCCAUAUCCCCUCAGAAUCUACUCUAAUUUAAUACAAUUUUGGAAACAGGAAGAUCUUUUUGUGUUAUGUUAAUGAUACCUGAGAGUUGUUGAGCACAUGCUGUGUGAUGGAUGCUGUGAUUUAAAUUACAUUUCUUUUUAACUUUUAUUUUAGAUUUAGGGGUACAUGUACAGGUUUGUUGUUACAGACAAACUUGUGUUAUGGGGGUUUGGUGCACGGACCACUUUGUCACCCAGGUACUAAACAUAGUACCUGAUAGUUCUGAUAGUUAUUUUUCCUGAUUCUCUCCCUUCUUCCACCCUCCUCCCUCAAGUAGGCCCCAGUGUCUGUUGUUCCCUUCUUCGUGCCCAUUAGUUCUCAUUAUUUAACUCCCACUUAUCAGUGGGAACAUGCAGUAUUUGGUUUUCUGUUCCUGCAUUAGUUUGCUAAGAAUAUUGGCCUCCAGCUCCAUCUGUGUUCCUGCAGAGAACAUGAUCUCAUUCUUUU